GUUCGAGCGUCAUUAUAACCACUCAAGCCUUUGCUUGGUAUUGGGGUUCGCGGUCCCGCGUCCCCUAAAAUCAGUGGCGGUGCCUAUCGGCUCUACGCGUAGUAAUACUCCUCGCGUUUGGGUCCGGUGGGUGACUUGCCAACAACCCCCAAAUUUUUAAGGUUGACCUCGGAUCAGGUAGGGAUACCCGCUGAACUUAA
rnacentral:misc_RNA from 1 species